GUCUUCAUUUUUGUUUGAAUGACUUUGGAUCAACCACCCUGACUCAUUAGAAAAAAACUAUGAAAGAGUUUGACUCAUAUCAUUACCACAAACAGUUUUACGAUAUAUCUUCUUUGUAAUGAUGCAUACUUUAAUCUUUAAUCUUUGCUUUUCAGAUGUCUUAAACCAAAAGGAAAACUUUCUUAGUAAUUAUCAAUUAAUGAGGGGAAAAAAGAAUGCGGAAUGGAAACAUACAAGACUUCAGUCUCAAGAAAUUUUAAGAAUAUUUCAAAAUUUCAAUUAUAGUAGAUUCAUCUUAUAUGAGGCUAUCUGAAGCUUGUUUGGCUUGUUUGGCUUGGUUUUCAAUGGGGAAAUCAUUAACUUAUGUAGUCAAAGGAAUGACAAUAUCCAAUUCACCAUUUCAGAAUCUAAUGCAUCCUGGGUAAUAUUUCCAAAAACAUUGUGAUUGGUUUAAAACGUUUUCAACAAUGGAAAUUCAACCAAUGAUGUAACUUUAUUUUCAUUUUGGUGUACAAACAAUGAAAUUACCCAUAGUCCUUUAGAUUCUGAAUCAGCCAAUUGCAUUGAUAGAGGGAAAAUUCCUGAAACCAUGAACGUUAGUAUCAAAGAUAAAAAUAUCAGCCUUCUGUUACAUAAGGGUACCAGUAGUGUUAAGGGUUAUUGAAUCCCUUCCCUUAUCUCAACAAGGUACCAGUAUUGUUGAGAGUUACUUCCCUUAUCUCAACAAAAUAUAAAUUAUCUCAGAACACAAAAAAAAUAUGAACUCAGAAAUUAACAAAAUAUGGAAAUUUUGAAUUUUGUUCUUCAAAAUUGAGUCUACAACCUUUACUAAUUGAAACAACUGCUUGACCAUACAAAAACAUACUGCAUGUAUAUCUGUCAUGAUAGUUAUAUGAAAGUUAAUUAUAAAUUCUUAUACAUAUGCACUCUUCACAUGCUUUGUAAAUGCUAUGCAUUGUUUGUUGUCCUUAUUUCCAUUACACUCCCCCCCUUUUAAGUACAACAUAUACAUAUAAUACAUGUAAAAGCAAAUAUAUAUAUAUAUAUAUAUAUGGACACAACCUUUAAAAUCUACAACAUAUAAAUAAAACACAACAUAUGUUCUUACUGUUUACAUAUAAAUUCACAUUUAUAAUAAGUUAUAAUCUUACAUAUAGCAAAAACCUGUCUUGAGAGACCAAACCCCUCUUUUCAAAAGCCUUUACUUUGCAAAAAAAUAAGUUUUGUAUAUUCAUGAAAUCAAGAUCUCUGUAGGUAGAUCUAAAAGUUACUGUUAAGUAUUCAGUGACUAUCAGACAAAAAAUCUCACAAAAAAAAAGAUAAUUGUAGGUUACAUCAAUAUGUAAUAUUUUUUGUGUAAAGAGUUGCCAUCACUUAUAUAAAUAAGAUCCCAGUUAAUUUAUUAAUAAAGACCAAGUUCAAAAGAAAUAUAAGUUUCUUUAUACUGCAACUAUUAUAUAUAUAUAUAUAUAUGUAUCCAUAAAGGGAUGAAAAUAAGUUUGAAAUUUGUGUUAAUUCAAAUAGCUAUGAAUUUAUUUAUUAAAGUUGCAGUAUAAAAUCAAUAUUAGGUCAAUGUCAGAAAAAUAUCAACGUUUGUGUACUCGGCGCAAAACUGAGGAAGGGCUCGGUAGAACCUCACCCUUCCCUAGUUUCUCAGUCUCAUACAAAAACGUUGAUAUUUUUCUGACAUUGACCUAAUUUUGUAUAUUUAAUUAUAUGUGAUCUAGUACAAAGACAACAGGCUUAUUCACUAUUGAGCUGCAUACACUAUCUUAGUUUUGUUACUAGUUUAUCAUCUCUUAAAGUUCAAAAAUAAAGAAUCAAUAUUUUUGAUAUGUUAAUGAUGUAGUAUUUGCCAUUUUUUAGAACUGGACAUACUAACAGAGGAAAUGUUUGUCACAAGAUAGCUUCUACAACAUCAAAACAUCCAUACUUUCACAAGCAUCUUAAUUCUAAAAUUAGUUGGAAACAAAUUAAAAUUUGAGAAAAAGGGUUGCCAUUGGCAAAUAUUUCACCCAUACUAAAGUUUGAAAGUAAUAGAGGGAAAGGACUGGAUUUUUUUUAACAGGAUCAAUAAGAUGAGGUAAAAAUAGAAAUCUUCAAUAAAAGCCUCACCAUACAUUAUUCAUCUUGAUAUUUUUUCGGCUAAUGAUGAAUAUUUUUAUUUUUUUAUUUUUUUUCCUCUGAACCAAACAUUUGUCUAGACUUAUUUAUUUAAUUAUUUAAAAUUUUUGAUAAAACAAGUGAAGAUCAUAAAAAAAUUUGAUAAUUGGAAUACAUUACUUUUAAGUGGAAUAUCGAUUUAAGAAAUCAUUACAUUUGAAAGAGGCUGAGCAUAGCAGAUUAACUUGGUAUGAAAGUGAGAUUUAUAUAUUAAUGAAUAUUCAUGUUUUAUUUUGUCAAGAGGUCCAGCUCUGUUUCAAUUAAAGUAAAAUCAAAAGUAUAAAUGAUAUGCAGAUAUAAAAAUAAUAAAUAAAUCAGUAAGCAAGAUUACCAUCAAAAUUAUAUACUAAUCAAAGCAGCUUUAUAAAGAAAAAAUAAAUUAAAAAGUUAACAAAUAUAAUUACAACGAUAGUUUGUUUUCAUGUCAAAUCACAUUCAUCUUCAACUCUUUUACACAAAUUAUUGAGAAAUAUCUUAAAUUUGUUUGCCUCUGGUGCUUCAUAGGAGAGAACUAGUAACCUACCAAAGAUCAGGAAACCAGUAUAGAGUUAAUUGUUAUAAAAGUUUGAAUGAUAUGAGAUACGAACACUGGCCAUUUGAUCAACUGUUGUCUGAUAUGAACAGAAAUAUGAAUUGAAUGAAAAUAUACCCAUUUGCCAUCCCUUACCUUUGGGGGAUUUUUUCAUUUGAAUUGAAUCUCUUCUAGUAAUCAUACCUCUUUCAAAGAGGUCAAAAUAAAUUUUCAUGAACAAAAUCUUCCCAGUAAUUUAACAAAUAAUGCUUGAAUAGGUCAUAGUGCAAAGUCUCCAUCAAUGAGUUUUUAACAUUCUUUAUACCAGAUUUUAAGAUAAAUAUUUGUUUUCUAAUUUCAAACAUAAUCUAAAAUAUAAAAAAAAUAUUUUUAACUACCAGUAUUCUCAGUUUAGAAAUGUACAGACUGAAAACAGUGAAUUUAGGAAAUCUACAUUUCCUUUUCGCUACUUACUGAAAAAAAAGUUCCUUGUUCAUGGACCAUUAGAUAACGAAAGUAGAAAUAAACCAGGAACUAAAAUACAAGUUUACAACAAAGGAAAAAAUAUAUGAUUUUUUAUAAGCAGAAGUAAAAAGUCUAAAAAAUUAAAGAGUAUUUAAAUAAUAAACAAAUAUCAAAAAGCUGUGAUUAGAAGCAAAAAAAAGACAAAAG
rnacentral:lncRNA from 1 species